UACAGAGGUCUCAAGCGUUGUUCGGAAUCACUGGGCGUAAAGGGUGCGUAGGCUGCGGAGAAAGUCUGGUGUGAAAUUUGUGAGCUCAACUCGCAACUAGCACCUGAUACUACUUUGCUAGAGAUCUGGAGAGGAGCUUGGAAUUCUCGGUGUAGCAGUGAAAUGCGUAGAUUUCGAGAAGAACGCUCGCUGCGAAAGCGAAGCUCUGGCCAGAUUCGUGACGCUGAGGCACGAAGGCUAGGGGAGCAAACGGG
rnacentral:rRNA from 1 species